rnacentral:rRNA from 1 species
GGGGAAUAUUGCACAAUGGGCGCAAGCCUGAUGCAGCGACGCCGCGUGAGGGAUGGAGGCCUUCGGGUUGUAAACCUCUUUUGUUAGGGAGCAAGGCACUUUGUGUUGAGUGUACCUUUCGAAUAAGCACCGGCUAACUACGUGCCAGCAGCCGCGGUAAUACGUAGGGUGCAAGCGUUAUCCGGAAUUAUUGGGCGUAAAGGGCUCGUAGGCGGUUCGUCGCGUCCGGUGUGAAAGUCCAUCGCUUAACGGUGGAUCCGCGCCGGGUACGGGCGGGCUUGAGUGCGGUAGGGGAGACUGGAAUUCCCGGUGUAACGGUGGAAUGUGUAGAUAUCGGGAAGAACACCAAUGGCGAAGGCAGGUCUCUGGGCCGUUACUGACGCUGAGGAGCGAAAGCGUGGGGAGCGAACAGGAUUAGAUACCCUGGUAGUCCACGCCGUAAACGGUGGAUGCUGGAUGUGGGGCCCGUUACACGGGUUCCGUGUCGGAGCUAACGCGUUAAGCAUCCCGCCUGGGGAGUACGGCCGCAAGGCUAAAACUCAAAGAAAUUGACGGGGGCCCGCACAAGCGGCGGAGCAUGCGGAUUAAUUCGAUGCAACGCGAAGAACCUUACCUGGGCUUGACAUGUUCCCGACGAUCCCAGAGAUGGGGUUUCCCUUCGGGGCGGGUUCACAGGUGGUGCAUGGUCGUCGUCAGCUCGUGUCGUGAGAUGUUGGGUUAAGUCCCGCAACGAGCGCAACCCUCGCCCCGUGUUGCCAGCGGAUUAUGCCGGGAACUCACGGGGGACCGCCGGGGUUAACUCGGAGGAAGGUGGGGAUGACGUCAGAUCAUCAUGCCCCUUACGUCCAGGGCUUCACGCAUGCUACAAUGGCCGGUACAACGGGAUGCGACAGCGCGAGCUGGAGCGGAUCCCUGAAAACCGGUCCCAGUUCGGAUCGCAGUCUGCAACUCGACUGCGUGAAGGCGGAGUCGCUAGUAAUCGCGAAUCAGCAACGUCGCGGUGAAUGCGUUCCC